rnacentral:rRNA from 1 species
CCCAGACUCCUACGGGAGGCAGCAGUGGGGGAUAUUGCACAAUGGGGGGAACCCUGAUGCAGCGACGCCGCGUGGGUGAAGGAGCGUUUCGGCGCGUAAAGCCCUAUCGGCAGGGAAGAAGGAGGACGGUACCUGACUAAGAAGCCCCGGCUAACUACGUGCCAGCAGCCGCGGUAAUACGUAGGGGGCAAGCGUUAUCCGGAUUUACUGGGUGUAAAGGGGGCGCAGACGGCAGCGCAAGCCAGGAGUGAAAGCCCGGGGCCCAACCCCGGGACUGCUCUUGGAACUGCGCGGCUGGAGUGCAGGAGGGGCAGGCGGAAUUCCUGGUGUAGCGGUGAAAUGCGUAGAUAUCAGGAGGAACACCGGCGGCGAAGGCGGCCUGCUGGACCGUGACUGACGUUGAGGCUCGAGGGCGUGGGGAGCAAACAGGAUUAGAUACCCUGGUAC